GACGAACGCUGGCGGCGUGCCUAAUACAUGCAAGUCGAACGAACCGCGACUAAGUGCUUGCACUAAGUCAAGGUGAGUGGCGAACGGGUGAGUAACACGUGGGUAACCUACCUCAUAGUGGGGGAUAACAGUCGGAAAUGACUGCUAAUACCGCAUAGGACAUAGGAUCACAUGAUCCAGUGAGGAAAGGUGGCGCAAGCUAUCGCUAAGAGAUGGACCCGCGGUGCAUUAGCUAGUUGGUAGGGUAAAGGCCUACCAAGGCGAUGAUGCAUAGCCGACCUGAGAGGGUGAUCGGCCACAUUGGGACUGAGACACGGCCCAAACUCCUACGGGAGGCAGCAGUAGGGAAUCUUCCGCAAUGGACGCAAGUCUGACGGAGCAACGCCGCGUGAGUGAAGAAGGUCUUCGGAUCGUAAAGCUCUGUUGUUAGAGAAGAACAGCGCAUAGAGUA
rnacentral:rRNA from 1 species